GGCCUCGUAGCUCAGCUGGUAGAGCAUGCGCGUACAAAGCGUAGGCGGCGUCCAUGCGUGGGUUCGAAUCCAACCGAGGAUA
rfam:Echinostoma caproni strain Egypt genome assembly, scaffold: ECPE_scaffold0002727